rnacentral:rRNA from 1 species
ACCCCUUUACAAGUAUCAAUUGGAGGGCAAGUCUGGUGCCAGCAGCCGCGGUAAUUCCAGCUCCAAUAGCGUAUAUUAAAGUUGUUGCAGUUAAAAAGCUCGUAGUUGGAUUUCUGUUAAUAAUUUAUAUAAAAUAUUUUGAUGAAUAUUUAUAUAAUAUYAACAUAAUUCAUAUUACUAUAUAUUUUAGUAUAUGAAAUUUUACUUUGAGAAAAUUAGAGUGCUUAAAGCAGGCAUAUGCCUUGAAUACUCCAGCAUGGAAUAAUAUUAAAGAUUUUUAUCUUUCUUAUUGGUUCUAAGAUAAGAAUAAUGAUUAAUAGGGACAGUUGGGGGCAUUUGUAUUUAACAGUCAGAGGUGAAAUUCUUAGAUUUGUUAAAGACAAACUAAUGCGAAAGCAUUUGCCAAGGAUGUUUUCAUUAAUCAAGAACGAAAGUUAGGGGAUCGAAGACGAUCAGAUACCGYCGUAGUCUUAA